UACGAAAGCCUGUUUGGAGGUGUUGUGGCAUUUAGCAAGGAUCACUUCAAAUUCAUAAACGGUUUUGCAAACAGGUAUUUUGGUUGGGGCGGAGAAGAUGAUGAUAUCAAACGACGGGUUGACAACCGUGGCUUAACAGUGGUCCGGCCACCCGACAGUGUAGCAAGGUACUCCAUGCUGAAACACGGUGCAGAAGCCGGCAACAAAGCGAACCCAAUAAGGUAUUUUGAAAUGAAACGUGCGUUGGAUGUCCAAAAUGUAGAUGGUCUCAGCUCAAUGGUAUUCAAUCCCAAUAUGUACAAAGUACUGGAUACAAAACUGAUGGAUCUAUACACAAAAAUAACCGUCGAGAUUCACAAAAUUGAAGUAUUAAAGGUACUUCCAACUUUGUUCCCGAUUAGGCCACGUCACCCUUGGAUUUCUUCAAAAUUUAGAAAAUUAAUAGCAAUGGAGAAAGCUUAAUUAGCAUUAGCUCUGACCACCUGAAAAAUCUGAAUCAAACUAAAAAGAAAGUCUUAUGUAGAUCCGUAGAUAAAUUUCCCGUUUCAUAUGUACAUUCAUAUCUUGCUCACAAGAAAAAAAAAUUGAAGACGUGUAGUACUGGAAGACAAAACAGUACACCUUCAAUAUAGACACGAGAGUGCAGAGUUGGUUCUCCAGGAAAUUGAUCAGCGUACCACGAGCAGCAAACCACCAGCAAUGUGCCAAAAUUAGAAAUACAACGCGAGACUAAACCCUAGAUCACAUUGACCACGAGCGCCGUACGAUGAAAUCGUACACGAUUUUUUUUUUUUUUUUUUUUUUUUUUAGAUUUUUAUGACAUCGUAGGUGGCUACGGGCUACGGCGAGAAUGUUUCGUUACGUGUGAGUACCGAAUGUGCCAUUUCGCCGACAUGACUUCGAGGAAACGUAGGGAAAAUUCGGUUUGUCGGUUGGAAAAUGAUUGUACGGAGCCCUUUCAAUUUUAGUGCAGUUUCCGCACGCCUUCUGUGGGGCUUCUAUGAAGAUCGAUGCGUUGUCGAUGCAGAUCUCUACGAGUUGUAAGCGUAUGGUCAGGAUGGUCAGAAUGAGGAAACGCACAACUUCAAAUUACAUUAAGUUUUUAACAUAUUUACUAUUGCAAUGCCUCCUAAAACUACCAGAUGUGGAAGAAAAAGAAACCAAUAUUGAAAACCGGUUGCAGGGUAAUCACAAGUUCGCACAGAUGAUAUAUGUUGCAAAAUUAUGACAGUAGCAGGCUCCACAUCAAUUCCCGUCUAAGAAGACAAUGGAAGCG